rnacentral:tRNA from 1 species
CUUAUCGAGUUGAUCGAGCUCAACAAAGGUCUUGGCUACGUUAGGUGGGCCAUCAAAGAAGGUUUUGCUAAGA